GACGAACGCUGGCGGCGUGCUUAACACAUGCAAGUCGAACGGAAAGGCCCUGCUUUUGUGGGGUGCUCGAGUGGCGAACGGGUGAGUAACACGUGAGUAACCUGCCCUUGACUUUGGGAUAACUUCAGGAAACUGGGGCUAAUACCGGAUAGGAGCUCCUGCUGCAUGGUGGGGGUUGGAAAGUUUCGGCGGUUGGGGAUGGACUCGCGGCUUAUCAGCUUGUUGGUGGGGUAGUGGCUUACCAAGGCUUUGACGGGUAGCCGGCCUGAGAGGGUGACCGGCAACAUAGGGACUGAGAUACGGCCCAGACUCCCACGGGAGGCAUCAGUGGGAAUUUUUGCACAAUGGGCGGAAGCCUGAUGCAGCAACGCCGCGUGCGGGAUGACGGCCUUCGGGUUGUAAACCGCUUUCGCCUGUGACGAAGCGUGAGUGACGGUAAUGGGUAAAGAAGCACCGGCUAACUACGUG
rnacentral:rRNA from 1 species